CGUACCUGAAAGAGCCAAAGAGAUCAUAAAGCGUGUUAUCGAAACAUCACCGAUUCCAAAAGACAUUCGAGUAAAGAUAAUAGAAGUGUACGGCGAAACACAUUCCUGCGCAUCGAUUAACUUGCGCUUGUGAAAUGCAGCAUUGAUCGCCUUUGUGCAUUAAUAUCACACCGUUCCUCAAACAAGACGGGAGAAAGAUCUUGGCAACUUUCCACAUAUCAGUGUUUGGCACGCUCACAGGAGAGGAAGAUGGCUCGACUCGAUUUUCUAGAGGUGAUUGUGUGAUCAAUUAUGGAUGAGGAGGAGCAGAAUAUCCAGGCUGACUCCAACAACCCACCCUACAUAUCUAUUCAUCUGUAAAAAUCUACUGCAGCUUUCAUUUUAUCGCAACUUUACAUUUAAUUUUUGUAGUCAUUAAAACAUCACCGACAUGACUUGAGCUUAAAGUGUCUUUAAAGCAUCUUUAAUUGUGUGUACUAGUGAAGAUCAAUGCGAAAGUCCGAUCCCCUUGUGUUUUCCUGAAAAUUCCAGGCAGGUGUGUUUGGAGGAGGGUUGAAUGUGGCAGAACUGAGCGCUCCUGCUCUGCUACAUGAUUCAGGCGGCACAGAAGGUGUCCUCUCAUCCAGAUGUCACACUUUUGAUGUAAGCGGAUUUGUGGGAGCCUGUAUGAACCCAAGGGCAGUCGGAGCGCCACUUGUCCUGCAUGCUUGGAAAUUGCAGUCAGGGUACCGCGCCACAGAUGAUCUGAGCUGGCAGUGAGCUCUACAGGAUGGAGGAAAUGAAGCCACGGCCAGAUAAACAGCACUUGGAUGAUAACGCACACACACAUACACACAUGGACACUCUCACAAUAUUUGCAAUGUCUGGAGCCUACAAGCUGUAUCACUUUCUUAUAACAAAGGCAAUACAGUGUACCUGCGCAACCAGGAAACUAUAUCUUUAUCAAAUACUGAGAGUCAAACUAUAAUGAAAAACCAGACGACGUGAUUGUAGUCUACAUUAUAAAUACAUUAUUCAGUUCAACAGACAGAGGCAACAACAGGACAUUAAAAAAAAAACGUGAACACAAAAAUUAAUUUUGUGACCUUCAGGAAAUUUUAUAUUAUUGUUUA